rnacentral:rRNA from 1 species
UAAUGGCUGGUGUUCUAACGUGGACCCGUUACCCGGGUUGCGGACAGUGUCUGGUGGGUAGUUUGACUGGGGCGGUCUCCUCCCAAAGAGUAACGGAGGAGCACGAAGGUUGGCUAAUCCUGGUCGGACAUCAGGAGGUUAGUGCAAUGGCAUAAGCCAGCUUGACUGCGAGCGUGACGGCGCGAGCAGGUGCGAAAGCAGGUCAUAGUGAUCCGGUGGUUCUGAAUGGAAGGGCCAUCGCUCAACGGAUAAAAGGUACUCCGGGGAUAACAGGCUGAUACCGCCCAAGAGUUCAUAUCGACGGCGGUGUUUGGCACCUCGAUGUCGGCUCAUCACAUCCUGGGGCUGAAGUAGGUCCCAAGGGUAUGGCUGUUCGCCAUUUAAAGUGGUACGCGAGCUGGGUUUAGAACGUCGUGAGACAGUUCGGUCCCUAUCUGCCGUGGGCGCUGGAGAAUUGAGGGGGGCUGCUCCUAGUACGAGAGGACCGGAGUGGACGCAUCACUGGUGUUCGGGUUGUCAUGCCAAUGGCACUGCCCGGUAGCUAAAUGCGGAAGAGAUAAGUGCUGAAAGCAUCUAAGCACGAAACUUGCCCC